UACGGAGGAUCCGAGCGUUAUCCGGAUUUACUGGGUGUAAAGGGAGUGUAGGUGGCCAUGCAAGUCAGAAGUGAAAAUCCGGGGCUCAACCCCGGAACUGCUUUUGAAACUGCAAGGCUAGAGUGCAGGAGGGGUGAGUGGAAUUCCUAGUGUAGCGGUGAAAUGCGUAGAUAUUAGGAGGAACACCAGUGGCGAAGGCGGCUUACUGGACUGUAACUGACACUGAGGCUCGAAAGCGUGGGGAGCAAACAGG
rnacentral:rRNA from 1 species